UAGAACAUAUUUGACUGGCGAGUUUCAGAGCGCGAAGGCACUCGCAAGCGGUAUUCCGAUCAUCAAUGGCUACUUAUCGAUCUCGCAUUGAACGACUUCGUUGAUGCCGAGGGAAUCGUAAGUAAGUCGAGGUUUGCAGUAGAAGAAUACGCCGUCCGAUUGCCUUCCGGCGGUCGUACUCGAGAUCUCUUCAUUCAUUCUCCCGGUAACGCUAUCAUUUCUUCUUACGGUGCGAAGGAUUCAUCUGAUUUUGAUAAUUUAUUCUGUUUUCCAGUGUUUGCGUAGAAAAUUUCUCCUAUGUAUGUUAAUUUUCUUGCGGAGUUGGCCGUAUGAGCUGCUUGAUUAUUUUCAGGGUCUUUUGAUGGAAGGACUUGCCAGCCAAGGAAAAUGAGAUGGUAUACCCUUGUACAACCUGCAAAAACGAAAUGGUUACUACAAAAACACAGAUUGUACGAGCAGGCAGCAAGCUGUGCAAUUAAAUACAGAGACGAUACAGAAGACGAUCAUAGAGUGAGCUUUUACCCAAGGGCACCUUCAGAUUUGACAAAUUUGGGAAGGCCAUCAGACAGACCUCUGGCAAAACCUGGCUGAGUUUGAACUAACUUUAACAGCUUCAAAGGGGCAAAGAGCAACAUCUGCAAUCACUUCAGCAGAUGUAGAGUCAGAAAGAUAGAUCAAUGUCUUGUGCUUCGCUGCAUACUUGGGACCAAUUUAUAUCUGAAUAGUAUUUCUUAAAGAAUUCAUACUUA